CGUGGGUAACCUACCCAUCAGAGGGGGAUAACACUUGGAAACAGGUGCUAAUACCGCAUAACAGUUUAUGCCGCAUGGCAUAAGAGUGAAAGGCGCUUUCGGGUGUCGCUGAUGGAUGGACCCGCGGUGCAUUAGCUAGUUGGUGAGGUAACGGCUCACCAAGGCCGCGAUGCAUAGCCGACCUGAGAGGGUGAUCGGCCACACUGGGACUGAGACACGGCCCAGACUCCUACGGGAGGCAGCAUG
rnacentral:rRNA from 1 species